CCGUGUGCUUAUUGGAUAGAGGGGAUCAGCUGAUCUGCGCAGCUGGUGUCGUGAUUGACGGCGCAGAACGAUGACAGCAAGUAAACAAUGAGUUAGCAUGCGUGAGGGAUGAUUGGCAAGAAUGUGAGGAAUAGAUGGCGGGCUGAGGGCGUCUCGGAAUCGUGAUGCAGACCUUUAUUUUGUAAACCUAAACCAGUCCGCCGGACUGAGACCGGGAAAACCGAGACGAACCGAAAGAAAACCGCCGUUUCCGGACGCGACCAACGAUCGUUUCCGUUAAACGGCGCCUGCGCAGAGUAACGAGGCGCGACAGAAGACUAGAGAUCUUCUGAUUUCUCACUAAAGACUUUUCAUCUUGGCCUUGGACAUAGCAACCGGUCAGUUACGUAUUUUCAUUGGAGGUAAAAGUUCAACAACCAAUCAUGAUUAUGAAGUCCUGUAUGUGGCCGCCCCGGCUUGGACAUAGCAACCGGUCAGUGACGUAUUUUCAUAGCAACCGGUCGGUGACAUAUUUUCAUUGGAGGGAAAUGUUCAAUAACCAAUCAUGAUCAUGAAGUCCUGUAUGUGGCCGCCCCGGCUUGGACAUAGCAACCGGUCGGCGACGUAUUUUCAUUGGAGGGAAAUGUUCAAACCGGUGAGAUGAGAAUCGCUCAGUGAGUGCGCAGAUGUUCUCCAUAGUACGCUGAAAUAUUGCUGUUAAUAUUAUUAAAGGAUAUGUGUGUUUCUAUUACUUAAAUUAAUUAAUGUGGCUGACUCUGAAUUAAGCUUUGUAGCACUUUCCGUGCACUAUCUAAGAAGAUAUUCAUGAUUUUCUUUUGUGUUCGACACCUGUUGUUCCGAGUGCCCCUGAACGCCUCAUUAGACUCGAAACCCAACGCUGCUGCGCAGCUGCACUCGUUCGUCCUAAAAUCUGUUUUGACACCCCCACCUAUCCAUGUAUCCGUGGUAGGGGUAGUGGAACAGCGGAGGGUAAUGGCUUGGGAGUUUGAGAGCACAGGCGCUAGAGCAGUUACCACCCAAAUGAACAUUUUGGCCUCCAUUUCAGACGGGAAGACAGUGGCCAAAUUCACUGCUUACGAAGAAUUUUCCAAUAAAUUCAAAGUAGGAGGAAACUAUAUGAUAAAGGGGCAUUCCCUGAGAGGGCAGUGUCCCCCCUUUUUUUUUAAUAUCUCAAGGGAGACAAUGUUCUUCCGGAGUGCGCCAAUAGUUAUAUCAGAAGAUUUAAAGCAGCAAGCAGAGGCUCUGCUUCAUCCCCUCUCUCCGCUGACCCCCCUCAGCACCUGCAGGGAGGCCAAGGGUUCUCUGAUGACCAUGGAGGGGGAAGUUGUUAAAUUGUCCACGGUGAAGAAAAUAUCAAAAGGGAGAGAAGACUUCCCCAUGCUAAACAUCAAGCUGCAGCAGCUAGUUGCGGUGCUGUACCUUUCAGCGGCCCUGAUGAUACGGUCAACCCUUCCAGAAAAAUACAGGGAGCAUCAAGAUGCCAAAUAGCAAACCUGGUAGAGAGCAUAGUCAAGACUACAACUGGACGAAAGGUCUGACGAAUGGAAGUUACACUACCUUCUCAAAACUUAAAGAUAAUUAACAUUAAAAGCUUAUGCCAGGGUGCUGGAGAGGAGGCUCCGACCGCUUGU